AAUAAAAUGGCUGAGAUUUAAGCAAUAAAUUGUAAAUUUAUUUACGGGAAUUUUUCUCUUUUAUUA
rnacentral:tRNA from 1 species